rnacentral:lncRNA from 1 species
AUCUUUCUUCAGAGUGAGAGGUUUGCAAGCUCUCCCCCUAAGUCUCAUAAGGCUAAGUUAAAAUUGCACUCUUAACUUAUCCUUACUUAUGAAAUUUAUUUCAGUUUCAACUAACUUAGUCUCCACCUUGAAAUACGUAAAACAAAGUAACAACUUUUAACGUAACAGAUAAAAGCGAGAUAAAAGGCGUGGUUUCAGUUUUGGACCUUAUCAAUUAAUGCGUAACUACUCCCCCUUUUGUCAUUAUCAAAAAGUAAAACAAAGUUAUAUAACCAAGACAGUCAAAGAAAGAAGAGUGGUUGUUACAAAGGUGAAUUAAUUUCAAAACCAAAAA